GUUUACAAGGCAGCACGACAACAGCGUGCAUGGAAGGACAGACGGUGAACUGGCUGACAGAUGAUGAGGCUGACCUUCUGUACAUCUUUUACAACUACAUUUUAAUGUGCAGCGUUCUGUGUGUGUGCAGAUGCAUAGCUGUUACUGAGAUGGACACUACACCCCUUCUCUAUUAAGCUGUGGAUGGUGCACCUGAAGACCUGCUGAGGACAUCAACUCCAGAACUUGAGGCACACGGCCCAGUGAAGAAGACAACCCAAAGCCUUGUGGGCUCACACUACAAACCUCCAAACAACAAUUCAGAUGGCUUGAUGGUGAAGAACCCAUCUGGUCUUUUGUUCGGACUUUCCACCAGUAAUUCAGAGACGGCUAUUUCAGCAUGUGGUGAGAUGACAUCUUGAAUCCCAAGGCACAUUCCGUGGCCAGACAAUCAUCAGCAGCAUUCUUGAGGACAUGCACAGAGACGGGCGAGUUUGUUUUAUAAAUAGACCAUUUAUUGAAAUAAAAGCUUUACAAAACUUUUUUUUUUGCAGCCACUCCAUCCCAGCUAAGCCAGCUGCUGGAGUUUUGAAUAAGAUGGGGAAAUCCCUACUACUGGUGCUGUCAAGGUACAGUACCUCACGUUUUCUCCAUGGUGUUAUAAAGACAGUCAUGGGACUACAAGAGAACUAGUAUGACCGGAGAAAAUGUGAGGUACUCUACCUUGAUGACUGCACCAGUAGGGAUUUCCCAGUGUUUAAGGGCCCUGACAAAAUGUUGAACACAGGGUUUUUUUAUUUAAAUCUGUUUUUCUUCAAUAAAGCUAUUACAACUUAACUCUCUGGUUCAGGUCUUGGUUCUUCACUGUGCUCCAUCUUAGCCCAAAACAAACCAAUAAACUCACUCCCACACAAAAUAAAAACUUGAAAAAUGUCCUUCACUGUCCACAGCUGGAAAAUGGUCCCUCAAAUAAAAUAUUCAAACAUUUUUCUUAAUGACUGUAAUGCAACUUGUGCUUAAUUCCAUAAACACACGCCUCAAUGUCAUUAUGAGGGUUGACAGGAAUAAGGCUUCCCCGUUGUGUCCAGCCCAUCUUAGCUUCAAGGCAGGCACGCUGUGAGGGAAUGUGCACAGGCUAUUUUUGUCUUUCCCCAUAGCCUAAGCGUAGAGGACAUUCCAAUGAAACAUGCAAUCAAAUUAAGAUGUACAGUGUUUAAGUAUACUACAGUCAACCUUGUAGAAUUUG